AACCGGUUGACGUUGAAAAGUCUUCGGAUGACCUGUGGGUAGGGGUGAAAGGCCAAUCAAACUCGGAAAUAGCUCGUACUCCCCGAAAUGCAUUUAGGUGCAGCGUUGAUUUAGUUUUAUAGAGGUAGAGCUACUGAUUGGAUGCGGGGGCUUCACCGCCUACCAAUUCCUGACAAACUCCGAAUGCUAUAA
rnacentral:rRNA from 1 species